rnacentral:rRNA from 1 species
GUGUCAGCAGCCGCGGUAAUACGUAGGGGGCAAGCGUUGUCCGGAAUCAUUGGGCGUAAAGCGCGUGUAGGCGGUUACGUAAGUCUGCUGUGAAAGUCGGAGGCUCAACCUUCGAAUGCCAGUGGAUACUGCGUGACUAGAGUUCGGAAGAGGCAAGUGGAAUUCCUGGUGUAGCGGUGAAAUGCGCAGAUAUCAGGAGGAACACCAACGGCGAAGGCAGCUUGCUGGUACGACACUGACGCUGAGACGCGAAAGCGUGGGGAGCAAACAGGAUUAGAAACCCUUGUAGUCC